rnacentral:lncRNA from 1 species
AAUGGCCAACCCUUACGUGACAAGUGGUAUCAGAGCUAAGGUUUGCACGCACGCAAAUUAGCUCACAAAGCAAUGGCCAACCCUUCGAACUUAGCACAAGAGGGUGUUGUUGGUGUGGAUGUUCCACCGGAACCAAGCCGUGGCCGAGAGGGAGAACGCGCCCAAGGCAAGACUCGCGGCAAGUCCAAGGCCCCAUCCGUAGAUGCGUUGGAGCCUCUUGUGACUACUCGAAAUCGUCAAGACUCGCGGCAAGUCCAAGGCCCUAUCCGUGGAUGCGUUGGAGCCUCGUGUAGGCACUCUCGAAAUAGCAUUGUCCGCCACUCAAGAUAGCCUCUUGGGAUUGGAGGAAAGAGUGGAUGGUCUCGAGGGAGAAUACGCCGAGUUCACGGUGGCCACAAAAGCUCUCAUCCAUGAGCAAGCGAACAUUCUCCGAGGUGAGUUUCGUUCUUUCCAUGAUGAGUUGUUCAAACUUCGUAGUUUUGUUCAGGACGAACUACGUACUGUCCGUGCGGAAGUGGAUGAAGUCCGCUCGGAUUGGGCAUGGCACAAGCGCACACUCUCCACAAGUCCAGCUUCCGCAAACUCGAGUGAUGCGCGCCGCAUUGACGUGCCAAAGCCUGACACCUACGAUGGCACACGCAAUGCCACCAUCGUGGACAAUUUCCUCUUUGGGCUGGAUCAAUACUUCGAUGCCAUGGGUGUCCGAGAUGAGGCAUCGAAAGUGGGCACUGCACCCACCUAUCUUAGAGGCGCUGCACAACUAUGGUGGCGUCGCAAGCAUGGCGAGAUGGGCAAGGGCAUUUGCGCCAUCGACACUUGGGCCGACUUCAAGCAAGAACUCCGAAAGCAGUUCGCCCCAAGCAAUGCGGAGAAAGAAGCGC